rnacentral:piRNA from 1 species
AACUAAUUGUGAUUUUCUCGGAACCCUGUC